GGGCUAUGGAGGGAAGCGAGUGAUCUGGGCCUUGCAGCAGUCAGUCUACAGACGUAAAGUGGGGCCACAUGGAGUUCAUUCCCUGCUAAAUUACUCAUCUCUGAAAACCAGGGACCAUAAGGACACUUGUCAUAUGUAGAUAGUGUCAUGAACACAGAUCUCUGCCACAACUGAGCUCAGAGUGGAACCGUAAAAUGGAUUUCAACCACUCAGAAACAAACGUUGUCCUGCGGAAUUUUCUCGAGAUGUACGUGGAAGAGAGGAAAAGCGUUAGGCUCAAUAAUUUCACCAGCCCGGCCUUGAAGGAGCAAGAGGAGAUAACAGCCUCUUUUUAUAUCCUUAUCAUCGUUGGCUUUUUUGGCUUCCUCCUUUUCUCCCUGAUGAUCAGCAAUAUUGUUUCCAACAAGCCUGAAAACUACAUUGACUAUCUCUAUUCUGGGAAGUUUAACAACCAGGGAAAUGAGAAAGGACUUCACAGAAAAGAAAGCAAAGACAUAUCGGUAACGAUUAGCGACAAAGUGAUGGUGGACCCCAACAACACUAGGGAAUGGCAAAAAACUGACAGCAAUAACAAUGAGCCCGAGGCACCAAGCCAAGAAGCAAUUCUGAGAAACAUAUGAAAGAGCAUUGAUGGACCUUCUUUAAAGAAGGAACAGGAAUCAAAAGGUGAUCUUAUUGUUCACAAAAGUGAGAUACUGGUAGCACUGGCUAGUGCCAGGACAUGCACAGAGCAGUAUGGUGCAAGCUUCCUACAUGCAGCUGUGAAAGCACCUCCUCAAUCCUGAUGUGCAACACAAUGCCCUUGCGAUGCCAGCACUGGGCCUGUGCAAAAGUGACUGGAAAUCAAGUGCAAACUUGUGUAACUCUUUUAUAUUCUGUUUUCUAAUGUGUUUUUAUAAUGCGUCUCUCAAAAGAACAAAAUG